rnacentral:rRNA from 1 species
GACGAACCGUGCAAACGUUGUUCGGAAUCACUGGGCUUAAAGGGCGCGUAGGCGGUCGACCAAGUCCGGGGUGAAAUCUUUCGGCUUAACCGGAAAAGUGCCUUGGAUACUGGUCGGCUGGAGGGAGGUAGGGGCAGGUGGAACUUCCAGUGGAGCGGUGAAAUGCGUUGAUAUUGGAAGGAACGCCGGUGGCGAAAGCGACCUGCUGGACCUUUUCUGACGCUGAGGCGCGAAAGCUAGGGGAGCAAACGGGG